rnacentral:misc_RNA from 1 species
AAGUCGUAACAAGGUUUCCGUGCGGAAGGAUCAUUAACGUAUCCAACGUUAAACAACCCUGUGAACUUUAAGUCCCCUCUUGCAGCCCAUGAGGAACGCAAUCCCGGUAAAUCAUUGCCAAACAGUUUUGAUAGGGACCUCUGUCCAAAAGGACCCCAAGCAGUUAGUGAAUGACAGUGUCACUGACUGUGUAAGGAUAACGCCUCACGGUUGCUAGAGGUCGAUCACCGACCGGCAGACAUGUCACAGGGUCACCACGCCCCUUAAUCACUCCGCCUAGUGGUAACGCGCUAGGUAAAAAAAACCGAACAACUGUUAACAAUGGAUAUCUUGGUUCUC